rnacentral:rRNA from 1 species
GAUGAACGCUGGCGGCGUGCCUAAUACAUGCAAGUCGAGCGAACAGAUAAGGAGCUUGCUCCUUUGACGUUAGCGGCGGACGGGUGAGUAACACGUGGGUAACCUACCUAUAAGACUGGGAUAACUUCGGGAAACCGGAGCUAAUACCGGAUAACAUUUGGAACCGCAUGGUUCUAAAGUGAAAGAUGGUUUUGCUAUCACUUAUAGAUGGACCCGCGCCGUAUUAGCUAGUUGGUAAGGUAACGGCUUACCAAGGCAACGAUACGUAGCCGACCUGAGAGGGUGAUCGGCCACACUGGAACUGAGACACGGUCCAGACUCCUACGGGAGGCAGCAGUAGGGAAUCUUCCGCAAUGGGCGAAAGCCUGACGGAGCAACGCCGCGUGAGUGAUGAAGGGUUUCGGCUCGUAAAACCCUGUUAUUAGGGAAGAACAAACGUGUAAGUAACUGUGCACGUCUUGACGGUACCUAAUCAGAAAGCCACGGCUAACUACGUG